AGCGAACGCUGGCGGCAGGCCUAACACAUGCAAGUCGAACGAACCUUUCGGGGUUAGUGGCGGACGGGUGGGUAACACGUGGGAACGUGCCUUUAGGUUCGGAAUAACUCAGGGAAACUUGUGCUAAUACCGCAUGUGCCCUUCGGGGGAAAGAUGAAUCGCCUUUAGAGCGGCCCGCGGCUGAUUAGCUAGUGGGUUGAGGUGAUGGCUCACCAAGGCGACGAUCAGUAGCUGGACUGAGAGGACGAUCGGCCACAGUGGGACUGCGACACGGCCCAAACGCCGACGCGAGGUAGCAGCGGGGAAGCUUGCGCAAUGUUCCAGCGCCUCACGACGCCGUGCCGCGUGGACGAUGAAGCUCCAAGGAGUGUAGAAUGCUUACACAGGAGACGAUCAUCAAAGAACCCGAGGAAGAAACCCCGGCUACUCUCGUG
rnacentral:rRNA from 1 species